rnacentral:rRNA from 1 species
UGGGGAAUAUUGCACAAUGGGCGAAAGCCUGAUGCAGCGACGCCGCGUGAGGGAUGACGGCCUUCGGGUUGUAAACCUCUUUCAGCAGGGAAGAAGCGAAAGUGACGGUACCUGCAGAAGAAGCGCCGGCUAACUACGUGCCAGCAGCCGCGGUAAUACGUAGGGCGCAAGCGUUGUCCGGAAUUAUUGGGCGUAAAGAGCUCGUAGGCGGUUAGUCGCGUCUGCUGUGAAAACUCGAGGCUCAACCUCGGGCUUGCAGUGGGUACGGGCUGACUAGAGUGCGGUAGGGGUGACUGGAAUUCCUGGUGUAGCGGUGGAAUGCGCAGAUAUCAGGAGGAACACCGAUGGCGAAGGCAGGUCACUGGGCCGCAACUGACGCUGAGGAGCGAAAGCAUGGGGAGCGAACAGGAUUAGAUACCCUGGUAGUCCAUGCCGUAAACGUUGGGCACUAGGUGUGGGUCCAUUCCACGGAUUCCGUGCCGCAGCAAACGCAUUAAGUGCCCCGCCUGGGGAGUACGGCCGCAAGGCUAAAACUCAAAUGAAUUGA